GCGCCUCCUGCGGCAGCUCGCGCCACGGUACGUCCACGUCGUACCCGAGCGCGAUGACGAUGUCGCGCAGGUUCUUGCCCUGCCAGGCGCCC
rnacentral:tRNA from 1 species